AGCGAACGCUGGCGGAAUGCUUAACACAUGCAAGUCGCACGGGGCUUCGGCUCGAGUGGCGGACGGGUGAGUAACGCGUAGGAACGUGUCUUGGGGUGGGGGAUAACGCUGGGAAACUGGCGCUAAUACCGCAUAUGGGCUGAGGCCCAAAGCCUUCGGGUGCCUUGAGAGCGGCCUGCGUCCGAUUAGCUAGUUGGUGGGGUAAAGGCUUACCAAGGCUUCGAUCGGUAGCUGGUCUGAGAGGACGAUCAGCCACACUGGGACUGAGACACGGCCCAGACUCCUACGGGAGGCAGCAGUGGGGAAUAUUGGACAAUGGGCGGAAGCCUGAUCCAGCAAUUCCGCGUGGGUGAAGAAGGUCUUCGGAUUGUAAAGCCCUUUCGACAGGGACGAUGAUGACGG
rnacentral:rRNA from 1 species